UUGACAAAUCCUACCCUACA
rnacentral:misc_RNA from 1 species